UACAGAGGUCUCAAGCGUUGUUCGGAUUCAUUGGGCGUAAAGGGUGCGUAGGUGGCGCCGUAAGUCGGGUGUGAAAUUUCGGAGCUUAACUCCGAAACUGCAUUUGAUACUGCGGUGCUUGAGGACUGGAGAGGAGACUGGAAUUCACGGUGUAGCAGUGAAAUGCGUAGAUAUCGUGAGGAAGACCAGUGGCGAAGGCGGGUCUCUGGACAGUUCCUGACACUGAGGCACGAAGGCUAGGGGAGCAAACGGG
rnacentral:rRNA from 1 species